CCGUGCUAGAUGGGGAGGUAGCGGCGCCCUGUACCCGCAAUCCGCUACAGCGGGAUCGAAUUCCCAUUUGAGGGUUGAACCUGUAGGGUCUGGUCUGGGUAAGUGGUGUUGAAGAUUGGGUCUUGCGCAAUGAGGCUUCAUGAACCCCGUCAGGUCCGGGAGGAAGCAGCGGUAAGUGAAUCACCUCAUGUGCCGCGAGGGUGCCUAGUCCGAGCUAACUGCCUGGGUGCCGCCUGGGGGUUUCGACUCGAGGAUGGGUGCACGG
rnacentral:SRP_RNA from 1 species